AUUCUUAAAAUCUUUAUGAUAAGGCCUCUACAUGUAGAUGUUUUGCUAACAAUUCAAUGUAAUUAAGUGAAAAUUGUCAUUUUUAAGGUUUUUAAUUACUAACAGAUAUUUCAAAGAUUGUCAGUUAUGAACAAUGUAUAGUCAAAGGUUGUCUUCCAUCGGAUUUUUCUGUGUCUUAAUUGAGAGCCAUGGUUGUGAUGCAGAAGGCAUCAGUAAAUUUUACUGUUCACAAGUUUUCUUUUAUACUUGCAUCACUGAUUCACAAUGCCUGGUGAGUAAAAUGAUUGAUUGUAAUGUAUCCUUGAAAAAAAACCUAAUACAUGUUAUUAUUAAUGCUGAAGUACUAAACAAUAAAGUAUUUUAAAC
rnacentral:sRNA from 1 species